AGUGAACGCUGGCGGUAGGCCUAACACAUGCAAGUCGAACGGCAGCACAGUAAGAGCUUGCUCUUACGGGUGGCGAGUGGCGGACGGGUGAGGCAUACAUCGGAAUCUACUUUUUCGUGGGGGAUAACGUAGGGAAACUUACGCUAAUACCGAAUACGACCUACGGGUGAAAGCAGGGGAUCUUCGGACCUUGCGCGAUUGAAUGAGCCGAUGUCGGAUUAGCUAGUUGGCGGGGUAAAGGCCCACCAAGGCGACGAUCCGUAGCUGGUCUGAGAGGAUGAUCAGCCACACUGGAACUGAGACACGGUCCAGACUCCUACGGGAGGCAGCAGUGGGGAAUAUUGGACAAUGGGCGCAAGCCUGAUCCAGCCAUACCGCGUGGGUGAAGAAGGCCUUCGGGUUGUAAAGCCCUUUUGUUGGGAAAGAAAAGCAGCAGGUUAAUACCCCGCUGUUCUGACGGUACCCAAAGAAUAAGCACCGGCUAACUUCGUG
rnacentral:rRNA from 1 species